GGGAGGGUAAUAUGUAGAGGAGCCAUACCCCUACCCGAAAGGGCAGAGAGGUUUCCAAUCGACCCACGGCAACACUACUUCAAAAUGAUAAUUAAGUUCUAGCACUCCCUCCAUUCCACCUUAUGUGACAUGAUUCGGAGGGCAAGGGUCAGACUGCCUAACUUUUUGUGGGGCUUCAGAAAACUACGAGGGAGUAAUAUAACCAAAACUAUGACACUCGAAAGUCAUAAACAUCAUACCGUGCAAGAUAUCCUUGACGAUUUCCCAAACUUCACUGCUUCAGCUUGUAUCUGUGUGGCUAAUUCUCUUGUUGGUGAUAGUACCAAAAUAGUUGGGCCUAAUUGAGGAUUCUUGCGACGCUGUUGUAGAUGAACAAAGGCAGGCAUCAAGUAACCCAGAGUUUUGCCAGACCCGGUCUUUGCAAUAGCCACUAUAUCACGGCCCUGAAGGGCGGGAUUCUUGCGACGUUGUCGUAGAUGAAUAAAGGCAGGCAUCAAGUAACCCAGAGUUUUGCCAGACCCAGUCUUCGCAAUAGCCACUAUAUCACGGCCCUGAAGGGCAAUGGGCCAGGAUUGUGCCUGUAUUGGAGUAGGAGCCGAAAACCCGGCUUGAUGCAUCUGUAAAUGUUGGCAACAUCAUUCAGCAUACAUACGAACUCGGAAUUGUUUUUCAUAGAUCACUUAUUUGACUAAUCUGAAUGGCCAACACAAGAAGAAGCAUCAUCCCCCUUAAGUAGGCAGCCAACACUAGCUUGAUGCAUCUGAAAAUGUUGGCAACAUAGGAACUCAGAAUUGUUUUUCAUAGAUCACUUAUUUGACUAAUCUGAAUGGCCGACACAAGAAGAAGCAUCAUCCCCCUUAAGUAGGCAGCCCACACUUGCUAAUACAAACAAGAGCAGGAGGACGCCUCUUCUUCAGUUUGGACCAUGUGGCAGACUGAAUCAUCACCGACAGCAGCCCCAGCCACGAACAUGGAUGAUUCGGAAAGCCUUCAGAAGAUUUGGUCCACCAAAUAAGGGUGCUCCACAUACAUGGAAGCCCCCAAAGGAUGGUUGAACAGCGUACGACAUUUAGCUCCUCCUUGGAGCAAAUAUCGCACCUGCGUGAAAGUACAGACAGGAAAAUGGAUGAGUACCGAAGCUCAACGAUGGACCUCCAGCAACCAUUGAAAUUUAGAAAGAACACGCUUGAUUAUUACUGUAAAUUCUUGGAUAAGAGGUUCUCCUGAAGGAGCGUUUAAAACACAAAUUGAAAUGGGUCUAUUCAUACCUC
rnacentral:lncRNA from 1 species